AAGCGGUGGAUGAUGUGGAUAAUUCGAUGCAACGCGAAAACCUUACCUACCCUUGACAUGUCCGGAAUCCCGAAGAGAUUUGGGAGUGCUCGCAAGAGAACCGGAACACAGGUGCUGCAUGGCUGUCGUCAGCUCGUGUCGUGAGAUGUUGGGUUAAGUCCCGCAACGAGCGCAACCCUUGUCAUUAGUUGCCAUCAUUGGUUGGGCACUCUAAUGAGACUGCCGGUGACAAACCGGAGGAAGGUGGGGAUGACGUCAAGUCCUCAUGGCCCUUAUGGGUAGGGCUUCACACGUCAUACAAUGGUCGGUACAGAGGGUUGCCAACCCGCGAGGGGGAGCUAAUCCCACAAAGCCGAUCGUAGUCCGGAUCGCAGUCUGCAACUCGACUGCGUGAAGUCGGAAUCGCUAGUAAUCGUGGAUCAGCAUGUCACGGUGAAUACGUUCCCGGGUCUU
rnacentral:rRNA from 1 species